rnacentral:rRNA from 1 species
UGAGGAACAUAACCUUCGGCGGGGGAUAGCCGGCCCAACGGCCGGGUAAUACCGCGUACGACCACAUGGGGACAUCCCUGAGUGGUGAAAGCAGCAAUGCGCCGAUGGAGUGCCUCGCGGCCUAUCAGCUAGUUGGUGAGGUAACGGCUCACCAAGGCGACGACGGGUAGCUGGUCUGAGAGGAUGGCCAGCCACAUUGGGACUGAGACACGGCCCAGGCUCCGUAGGGACGG